rnacentral:rRNA from 1 species
GACGAACGCUGGCGGCGUGCCUAACACAUGCAAGUCGAACGGAAAGGCCCUGCUUUUGUGGGGUGCUCGAGUGGCGAACGGGUGAGUAACACGUGAGUAACCUGCCCUUGACUUUGGGAUAACUUCAGGAAACUGGGGCUAUUACCGGAUAGGAGCUCCUGCUGCAUGGUGGGGGUUGGAAAGUUUCGGCGGUUGGGGAUGGACUCGCGGCUUAUCAGCUUGUUGGUGGGGUAGUGGCUUACCAAGGCUUUGACGGGUAGCCGGCCUGAGAGGGUGACCGGCCACAUUGGGACUGAGAUACGGACCAGACUCCUACGGGAGGCAGCAGUGGGGAAUAUUGCACAAUGGGCGGAAGCCUGAUGCAGCAACGCCGCGUGCGGGAUGACGGCCUUCGGGUUGUAAACCGCUUUCGCCUGUGACGAAGCGUGAGUGACGGUAAUGGGUAAAGAAGCACCGGCUAACUACGUG